ACAAAGUCUGGGGGCGGCCAUGUUGGGCAAAGGUUUCCACGGAUAAUGAUUUCCGGCGGUAAAAAAGUUGUCUGACUAUGGACCCCCGGCGUAGUGCACAGGACGUGUUAAGGUGUCAACUUUGCGAUACCCCGGUCCCCCCUUUGUACUGUGGCAUUUGUCACAUACAUAUAUGUAAAGCCUGUGUAGGGGACCAUCUCUUAGAUGAAUCCUCAGAACACAAAGUUGUUCCAUUUGAUAAGCGUGGAUUAACUACGAAAUGUCAAAAACAUUCCACAAAAGUAUGUGAACUUUAUUGCGAAGAAUGUGAUAUUUCUAUCUGUGCAACAUGUGCUUCCUCUGAACAUAAAGGUCACGAGUUUACUGAGAUUUUGAAAUACUUUGAAGACAAAAAAGAUGCCAUUCAAAAAGAUUUACAAGAACUGCAAAAGUCCAUUAAUCCUAAAUAUUAGGAGAUUGUGUCUCACAUAUCAGUUCAAAAAGCUGAUCUGAACAAAAAUUCGCAGAAACUCACAUCUGCAAUAAAUAAACAUGGAGAAGACUUGCACUCAGAAGUAGACAUUAUCAUAAAGAAUCUUAUAUCCAAUCUUGACGAAAUGGAUUUAAAACAAUUGGUUGUUCUAAAUAAACAAGAAAAUGAAAUUAAAUUCACCAUUUCUGAAAUCGUACAAUGUACUACUGAUCUAGAGAAAUAACUGAACUCUAAUGAUAUGAACCUCGUCACUGCCUACAAAUCCCGGAAUACAGAAUUUAGAAAAUUGCCUCCAAAACUCAAAGUUUCUUUUCCAAGUUUUACUCCUCAGAAGAUCAACAAAGAACAGCUAUAUGAACAGUUUGGUUCUCUUUCUUCGUUUUCUAUGAACAUUGAAGCACACGACAACACAAUGGAUUCCCCAGGUGCUGACACUUCUGCUUCAUACAAACCAUUAAUUGAUGAACCACGAAUUGUCAAAGAUAUAAACACCGAUUGUGGAAUACAAAAUUAUCUACGCAGUGUGUCAUGUCUUAGUGAUGAACAUAUCUGGACGAGUGGUUCUGACAGUAUCAUGAGACUCUACAACCUGCAAGGAGAAAUAGUGAAGUCAGUCAAAACCAAGUCAGGGAACAAUCCGCGGGAUAUUGCAGUUACACAAAAAGGGGACCUCGUUUAUACUGAUUAUAGUGAUAAAUCUAUCAACAUAGUGAAGAAUACAGAUAUAAUAAAACUGAUUAAAAUACAGGGGUGGAAACCUUGGAAUAUAUGCUGUACCUCAUGUGAUGACCUCCUUGUUGUCAUGGACAGUGAAGAUGAUCAAAAAGCAAAAGUUGUGCGUUACUCUGGCUCAAAAGAGAAACAAACUAUUGAAUUUAAUGAUGAAGGACAACAACUGUAUUCAUCUCGUGACAUAAAAUACAUAAACGAGAACAAGAACCUAGAUAUAUGUGUAUCUGACUAUACAGCCCGUGCCGUGGUGGUGGUUAAUCAGGCUGGGAAACUCCGGUUUACCUUCACUGGUCCUCCUUCUAAUACCAAGACGUCGUUUAGACCGUACGGCAUUACAACAGACAGCCAAGGUAGGAUCCUUGUAGCAGACAGGGGAAACCCUCGAAUCUACGUCAUAGACCAGGACGGACAGUUCCUCCGCUUCAUUGACAACUGUGAUUUACAGUAUCCAUGGGGUUUAUGUGUGGACGCAAGAGACGACCUCUUCGUGGUUAAGAGUUCACGAGGUAAACUAAAGAAAAUCAAAUAUUGCAACUAGAGAAAAGUGUUUGUUAAAAUAAAAUUGGGUUUCCCAAUCCAUAAUAUAUUCAACAUUGUAUUUCUACAUCUUAAUAAUCUGCACUGAUGUCUAAUAUUACAACAGGUUGUCUGUUUAUAUAUUGUGUAAAAGUUAGCUGUUUACACACACAUGUGUGUAUCAAACUGACUGUAUAAAUUAAGAUAAUAUUUGUAAACAGACUGUCUAUAUUUUACAAUAUUUAGAGACUGUGUUAAUUUAUGCAUGACAUUUACUAUUGAUUGUAGUUAUGAUACAAUAUUUAGAGCAAUAAAUGAUAUUCGCU
rnacentral:sRNA from 1 species